rnacentral:tRNA from 1 species
GGGAAUGUGGCUUAGUGGUAGAGUCCUUGCCUAGCAUGCAUGAAACCCUGGGUUCGAUUCCUCAGUACCA